UACAGAGGGGGCAAGCGUUGUUCGGAAUUACUGGGCGUAAAGGGCGCGUAGGCGGCCUGUUAAGUCGGACGUGAAAUCCCUCGGCUCAACCGGGGAACUGCGUCCGAUACUGGCGGGCUUGAAUUCGGGAGAGGGAUGUGGAAUUCCAGGUGUAGCGGUGAAAUGCGUAGAUAUCUGGAGGAACACCGGUGGCGAAGGCGGCAUCCUGGACCGACAUUGACGCUGAGGCGCGAAAGCCAGGGGAGCAAACAGG
rnacentral:rRNA from 1 species